rnacentral:rRNA from 1 species
GUGCCAGCAGCCGCGGUAAUACCGGCAGCCCAAGUGAUGGCCGAUCUUAUUGGGCCUAAAGCGUCCGUAGCUGGGUCUGAAAGUCCAUCGGGAAAUCCACUCGCUCAACGAGUGGCCGUCCGGUGGAAACUCCACACCUUGGGACCGGAAGGCUCGAAGGGUACGGCCGGGGUAGGAGUGAAAUCCCAUAAUCCCGCACGGACCACCGAUGGCGAAAGCACUUCGAGAAAACGGAUCCGACAGUGAGGGACGGAAGCCAGGGUCUCCAACCGGAUUAGAUACCCCAGUAGUCC